rnacentral:rRNA from 1 species
UUCGUCCAAUUGAAGCAGAGGACAGUGGCGGACGGGUGAGUAACGCGUGAGGAACCUGCCUUUCAGAGGGGGACAACAGUUGGAAACAACUGCUAAUACCGCAUAACAUAUAGGUGUCGCAUGGCUUUUAUGCCAAAGAUUUAUCGCUGAAAGAUGGCCUCGCGUCUGAUUAGCUAGUUGGUGAGGUAACGGCCCACCAAGACGACGAUCAGUAGCCGGACUGAGAGGUUGAACGGCCACAUUGGGACUGAGAUACGGCCCAGACUCC